rnacentral:rRNA from 1 species
GACGAACGCUGGCGGCGUGCCUAAUACAUGCAAGUAGAACGCUGAAGGAGGAGCUUGCUUCUCUGGAUGAGUUGCGAACGGGUGAGUAACGCGUAGGUAACCUGCCUGGUAGCGGGGGAUAACUAUUGGAAACGAUAGCUAAUACCGCAUAAGAGUAGAUGUUGCAUGACAUUUGCUUAAAAGGUGCAAUUGCAUCACUACCAGAUGGACCUGCGUUGUAUUAGCUAGUUGGUGGGGUAACGGCUCACCAAGGCGACGAUACAUAGCCGACCUGAGAGGGUGAUCGGCCACACUGGGACUGAGACACGGCCCAGACUCCUACGGGAGGCAGCAGUAGGGAAUCUUCGGCAAUGGACGGAAGUCUGACCGAGCAACGCCGCGUGAGUGAAGAAGGGUUUCGGAUCGUAAAGCUCUGUUGUAAGAGAAGAACGAGUGUGAGAGUGGAAAGUUCACACUGUGACGGUAUCUUACCAGAAAGGGACGGCUAACUACGCG